rnacentral:rRNA from 1 species
GUGCCAGCAGCCGCGGUAAUACGGGGGGGGCAAGCGUUGUUCGGAAUUACUGGGCGUAAAGGGUCUGUAGGUGGCUUGCUAAGUCAGACGUGAAAUCCCUCAGCUUAACUGGGGAACUGCGUCUGAGACUGGCGAGCUUGAGGGCAGGAGAGGAACGCGGAAUUCCAGGUGUAGCGGUGAAAUGCGUAGAUAUCUGGAGGAACACCGGUGGCGAAGGCGGCGUUCUGGACUGCAUCUGACACUGAGAGACGAAAGCCAGGGGAGCAAACGGGAUUAGAAACCCGUGUAGUCC